rnacentral:rRNA from 1 species
AUUGAACGCUGGCGGCAGGCCUAACACAUGCAAGUCGAACGAGCGGCGGACGGGUGAGUAAUGUCUGGGAAACUGCCCGAUGGAGGGGGAUAACUACUGGAAACGGUAGCUAAUACCGCAUACCAUCAGAUGUGCCCAGAUGGGAUUAGCUAGUUGGUGGGGUAAAGGCUCACCAAGGCGACGAUCCCUAGCUGGUCUGAGAGGAUGACCGGCCACACUGGAACUGAGACACGGUCCAGACUCCUAAGGGAGGGAGCAGUGGGGAAUAUUGCACAAUGGGCGCAAGCCUGAUGCAGCGAUGCCGCGUGUAUGAAGAAGGCCUUCGGGUUGUAAAGUACUUUCAGCGGGGAGGCGUUACCCGCAGAAGAAGCACCGGCUAACUCCGUGCCAGCAGCCGCGGUAAUUC